AUUGAACGCUGGCGGCAUGCUUUACACAUGCAAGUCGAACGGCAGCACGGGGGCAGCCCUGGUGGCGAGUGGCGAACGGGUGAGUAAUACAUCGGAACGUGUUCGCCUGCGGGGGAUUACGUAGCGACAGUUACGCUAAUACCGCAUUCGAUCUGAGGAUGAAACCGGGGGACCUUCGGGUCUCGCGAGAUUGGAGCGGUGGAUGUCAGAUUUGGUAGUUGGUUGGGUGAAGGCCUACCAAGCCGGCGAUCUGUAGCUGGUCGGAGAGGACGACCGGCCAGACUGGGACGGAGACACGGCCCAGACUCCGACGGGAGGCAGCAGGGGGGAAUGUUGGACAAUGGGCGCAAGCAUGAUCCAGGCAGCCCGGGUGCAGGACGAAGGCCGUCGGGUUGUAAACGGCUUUUGUACGGAACGAAAAGGCUCUGGCUAAUACCUGGGGCUCAUGACGGUACCGGAAGAAUAAGCACCGGCUAACUACGUG
rnacentral:rRNA from 1 species